GCCCAUUGUGCAGCUCUAGUGCGACGUAAAUUAACCACAACCACAACAAAAAUUAAGUUUAAUAUAGCAAAUUAUAUGGAAUAUUCUAUGGAACAGAUAAAAAUCAGUGAGAUGCAAAAUACUAAACUUUUUCUAAGUGCAAUGUAUAAUAUAUACAUAAAAGUCAACAAAUGCAAUAUACACUAUUUUGAAUUUAAGGUAAAUGCUGGAAUAUAGCCAAACUAAAUAAUUAAAUUUAAAUAUUUUACCAAGUCUUAUCAACAGAUAGUUUUAAUACAGUGCCUAUUGCAUAUAUUAGUCCAAAACGGGGAAUAUUUCUGUGUCGAUAUCUAUUCGCUU